UACAGAGGGUGCGAGCGUUAAUCGGAAUUACUGGGCGUAAAGCGCACGUAGUCGGCUUUGCAAGUCGGGUGUGAAAUCCCCGGGCUCAACCUGGGAACUGCAUCCGAGACUGCAUUGCUAGAGUAUGGGGGAGGGAAGCGGAAUUUCUGGUGUAGCAGUGAAAUGCGUAGAUAUCAGAAGGAACAUCAGUGGCGAAGGCGGCUUCCUGGACCAAUACUGACGAUCAGGUGCGAAAGCGUGGGGAGCAAACAGG
rnacentral:rRNA from 1 species